rnacentral:rRNA from 1 species
AUUGAACGCUGGCGGCAUGCCUUACACAUGCAAGUCGAACGGUAACGCGGGGCAACCUGGCGACGAGUGGCGAACGAGUGAGUAAUGUAUCGGAACGUGCCCAGCUGUGGGGGAUAACUGCUCGAAAGAGCAGCUAAUACCGCAUACGACCUGAGGGUGAAAGCGGGGGAUCGCAAGACCUCGCGCAAUUGGAGCGGCCGAUAUCAGAUUAGGUAGUUGGUGGGGUAAAGGCCCACCAAGCCAACGAUCUGUAGCUGGUCUGAGAGGACGACCAGCCACACUGGGACUGAGACACGGCCCAGACUCCUACGGGAGGCAGCAGUGGGGAAUUUUGGACAAUGGGCGCAAGCCUGAUCCAGCCAUGCCGCGUGCGGGAAGAAGGCCUUCGGGUUGUAAACCGCUUUUGUCAGGGAAGAAACGCUCUGGGUUAAUACCUCGGGGUAAUGACGGUACCUGAAGAAUAAGCACCGGCUAACUACGUGCCAGCCGCCGCCGUAAUAC